rnacentral:rRNA from 1 species
GACGAACGCUGGCGGCGUGCUUAACACAUGCAAGUCGAACGGUAAGGCCCUUCGGGGUACACGAGUGGCGAACGGGUGAGUAACACGUGGGUGAUCUGCCCUGCACUUCGGGAUAAGCCUGGGAAACUGGGUCUAAUACCGGAGAUGACUCCGGACUGCAUGGUUCGGGGUGGAACGCUUUUGCGGUGUGGGAUGGGCCCGCGGCCUAUCAGCUUGUUGGUGGGGUGAGGGCCCGCCAAGGCGACGGCGGGUAGCCGGCCUGAAAGGGUGACCGGCCACACUGGGACUGAGAUACGGCCCAGACUCCUACGGGAGGCAGCAGUGGGGAAUAUUGCCCCCUGGGCGCAAGCCUGAUGCAGCGACGCCGCGUGAGGGAUGCCGCCCUUCGGGUUGUAAACCUCUUUCCCCACCGACGAAGCGCAAGUGACGGUAUGUGCAGAAGAAGGACCGGCCAACUACGUGCCAGCAGCCGCAGUAA